GCAGGAGAGACUGCACUACAGAUUCUGAUACACUUCGAAAGGAUGUGGUAACGGAGAGUGGAAAAUGCAGUCUAGCUGUGUGCCCUGAACAAAGAGGAGAACACAAAUAUUGGCCUACAUACUAAGUAGCCAGUGUAACUGAUAAAGGAAAACAUCAAAUACGGUGAACAAAGUCUCCACUCACCUACCCCAGGAACUUAGAGGAAGCUGAAGAUGAAUCAGAUCUGAUCUUUAUUUAGCAACCUACCUCACAGCAGCAACUCUCUCUGAGGCACUAGGUUCUGAGCCUUAGAACUGCACAUAAAACAGAUAUUCGCCUGGACCUCCCUGCAGCG